rnacentral:rRNA from 1 species
AAUCCACGCUGGCGGCGUGCCUCAGACAUGCAAGUCGAACGAUUAAAGCUCUCUUCGGAGAGUGCAUAGAGUGGCGCACGGGUGAGUAACACGUAAGUAAUCUACCUUCGAGUGGGGAAUAACGUCCGGAAACGGACGCUAAUACCGCAUAAUGCAGCGGCAUCGCAAGAUGACAGUUGUUAAAGAUUUAUCGCUUGAAGAGGAGCUUGCGGCAGAUUAGCUAGUUGGUAAGGUAAUGGCUUACCAAGGCUACGAUCUGUAACCGGUCUUAGAGGACGGUCGGUCACACUGACACUGAAUAACGGGUCAGACUCCUACGGGAGGCAGCAGUCGGGAAUUUUGGGCAAUGGGCGAAAGCCUGACCCAGCAACGCCGCGUGAAGGAUGAAGUAUUUCGGUAUGUAAACUUCGAAAGAAUGGGAAGAAUCAAUGACGGUACCAUUUAUAAGGUCCGGCUAACUACGUGCCAGCCGCCGCAGUAAGAC